AGUGGAAUUGCUGGGUUAUAUGGCAGAUCCAUGCUUAAUGUUUUGAGGAACUGUCAAACUGUUUUCCAAAGUGGCUGCACCAUUUUACAUUCCCUGCAGCAAU
rnacentral:pre_miRNA from 1 species